UACGUAGGGCGCAAGCGUUGUCCGGAAUUAUUGGGCGUAAAGAGCUCGUAGGCGGCUUGUCACGUCGGGUGUGAAAGCCCGGGGCUUAACCCCGGGUCUGCAUUCGAUACGGGCAGGCUAGAGUGUGGUAGGGGAGAUCGGAAUUCCUGGUGUAGCGGUGGAAUGCGCAGAUAUCAGGAGGAACACCGGUGGCGAAGGCGGGUCUCUGGGCAGUAACUGACGCUGAGGAGCGAAAGCAUGGGGAGCGAACAGG
rnacentral:rRNA from 1 species